AUGUUUUAGCAUAUAAUAAGAGCAAGAUAAGAAUAACCAGAGGUCGACACAUAACUCCAGCAAACAUGAAGGUUAAACAGCAUUGGUAGAAGGAGUCAAGUCUUGAACUGUCAUGAUGAACACAAACACAUCGAGUAUAUGUUAGUUGGGCUAAGAAACUCAGUAGAAACAAAUUUGAGGCAAAAUAGUCACAAAAACUCAAACGAGAACCGGUCAGUCAUGCUGAUACGCAGAACCAAACGAAGAAACCUAGAAAAUAAGGGAUUUCAACAUAUGCGAGUUAAAUAUGUAGUAAAAUCAUUGAAUAAGUUAAUAUAAUACAAGAAAUAGAAGAUUUUACACAAAUGAACCAGUUAAAGAAGGUUUUAAAUAAUGUUCCGAAAACCCUAUUUUUUUAAAGCAGGUGAAAAACACUUAAAAAUCAACUAUUCUUGCAAGGAAUCUCAAGGAUUGUGUAAAUAUUAAAGGAACAAACUCAAAUCGUCUUAGAACUUUACAGAAGUAGGAAGUAUAGAAAAGAAAUUAGGGUUCCGAACGAAAUCCAUAUAGAGAUGAACAAGCUGCUUAAAAAACUCAAAGAUCGUUGCAAAUACAUCACGAUUUUGCAAGUUGGCAUGUCCCUGGGCCCUUGAAGACCUUAGAGAAGGUUAGAAUUUCAUGAGAGAAGCCAUUGGAGGCAUACGAGACGAUGAGAGGUCACUGGAGAUUACCGGAGAUGGGAGGUCAGCAGUUGAAGGGCUAGGGAUAGGUUUAGAGUGUACAGAGAGUACAGAGGAUUUUAGGGUGG
rnacentral:lncRNA from 1 species